UCGCAGUUAAAAGCUCGUAGUUGGAUUUCUGCGGGGGCGGGGCGGCCGGAUGCUUAUAGCAUCUCGAGCUAGCACUUCCCCCGCAUCCUGCCGCGAACCGUGCUACCAUUAGUUUGGUGGCGCUGGGGAUCGGCUCGUUUACUUUGAGAAAAAUAGAGUGUUCAAAGCAGGCCACACGCCUUGAAUAAGUUAGCAUGGAAUAAUGAUAAAGGACUUCGGUUCUACUUUGUUGGUGUUCGGGACUGAAGUAAUGAUUGAUAGGGACAGUUGGGGCGGUCAGUAUUCCAAAGCGAGAGGUGAAAUUCUUAGACCUUCGGAAGACUAACAGCUGCGAAAGCGUUCCGCGAGGAUGUUCCCUUUGAUCAAGAACGAAAGUUGGGGGAUCGAAGACGAUCAGAUACCGUCGUAGUCUCAACUAUAAACUAUACCAGCUAGGGAUCGGCCAACGUUUAAUUAUUCGACUUGGUCGGCACCUUAUGAGAAAUCAAAGCAUCUGGGUUCCGGGGGGAGUAUGGUCGCAAGGCUGAAACUUAAAGGAAUUGACGGAAGGGCACCACCAGCCGUGGA
rnacentral:rRNA from 1 species